GAUGAACGCUGGCGGCGUGCCUAAUACAUGCAAGUCGAGCGAACGGACGAGAAGCUUGCUUCUCUGAUGUUAGCGGCGGACGGGUGAGUAACACGUGGAUAACCUACCUAUAAGACUGGGAUAACUUCGGGAAACCGGAGCUAAUACCGGAUAAUAUUUUGAACCGCAUGGUUCAAAAGUGAAAGACGGUCUUGCUGUCACUUAUAGAUGGAUCCGCGCUGCAUUAGCUAGUUGGUAAGGUAACGGCUUACCAAGGCAACGAUGCAUAGCCGACCUGAGAGGGUGAUCGGCCACACUGGAACUGAGACACGGUCCAGACUACUACGGGAGGCAGCAGUAGGGAAUCUUCCGCAAUGGGGGAAAGCCUGACGGAGCAACGCCGCGUGAGUGAUGAAGGUCUUCGGAUCGUAAAACUCUGUUAUUAGGGAAGAACAUAUGUGUAAGUAACUGUGCACAUCUUGACGGUACCUAAUCAGAAAGCCACGGCUAACUACGUG
rnacentral:rRNA from 1 species